UACCAGCACCCCGAGUGGUCGGCACGAUUAUUGGGCCUAAAGCAUCCGUAGCCGGUUCUACAAGUCUUCCGUUAAAUCCACCUGCUCAACAGAUGGGCUGCGGAGGAUACUAUAGAGCUAGGAGGCGGGAGAGGCAAGCGGUACUUAGUGGGUAGGGGUAAAAUCCGUUGAUCCAUUGAAGACCACCAGUGGCGAAGGCGGCUUGCCAGAAUGCGCUCGACGGUGAGGGAUGAAAGCUGGGGGAGCAAACCGG
rnacentral:rRNA from 1 species